GGACGAACGCUGGCGGCGUGCUUAACACAUGCAAGUCGAGCGAGGCCCCUCCUUCGGGAGGGUGUCCUAGCGGCGAACGGGUGAGUAACACGUGGGCAACCUGCCCUCAGCUCUGGGAUAACUCCGGGAAACCGGGGCUAAUACCGGAUACGACCUCCACGGGCAUCUGCGGAGGUGGAAAGUUUUUCGGCUGAGGAUGGGCCCGCGGCCUAUCAGCUAGUUGGUGGGGUAGUGGCCCACCAAGGCGACGACGGGUAGCCGGCCUGAGAGGGCGACCGGCCACACUGGGACUGAGACACGGCCCAGACUCCUACGGGAGGCAGCAGUGGGGAAUAUUGCGCAAUGGGCGAAAGCCUGACGCAGCGACGCCGCGUGAGGGACGAAGGCCUUCGGGUUGUAAACCUCUUUCAGCAGGGACGAAGCGAAAGUGACGGUACCUGCAGAAGAAGCACCGGCCAACUACGU
rnacentral:rRNA from 1 species